rnacentral:rRNA from 1 species
UACGUAGGCAGCGAGCGUUGUUCGGAAUUAUUGGGCGUAAAGGGCGCGUAGGCGGUGCGGUAAGUCUGCAGUGAAAUCUCUGGGCUCAACUCAGAGUCUGCUGUGGAAACUGCUGUGCUUGAGUGUGGGAGAGGCGCGUGGAAUUGCAGGUGUAGCGGUGAAAUGCGUAGAUAUCUGCAGGAACACCCGUGGCGAAAGCGGCGCGCUGGACCACUACUGACGCUGAGGAACGAAAGCUAGGGAGCAAACAGG